GAUGUUUUUAGUUUGUCAGUCAGUCUGUUCAGGACACUUGCCGAAAUCAAUCGCUUUUAGCCAGCAAGUCUGAAGUAACGUGUGAAAUUACUGAUAAAAUGUCGAAAACUAAGGUCUGCAUCGUCGGCAGUGGCAACUGGGGAUCAGCGAUCGCCAAGAUUGUCGGUGCUAAUGCAAAACGCUUACCUCAAUUCGAAGAUCGGGUAACGAUGUACGUGUAUGAGGAAAUGAUCGAUGGCAAGAAAUUGACCGAAAUCAUUAAUGAAACUCACGAGAAUGUCAAGUACUUGAAGGGGCACAAGUUGCCCGAGAAUGUGGUUGCAGUUCCAGAUGUUGGUGAUGCCGCAGACGGAGCUGAUAUCCUCAUUUUCGUAGUGCCACACGCUUUCAUCAAAGGAUUGAGCACUAGUCUUAAAGGCCGCAUGAAGCCAACUGCUGUCGGCCUUUCUUUAAUUAAAGGUUUUGACAAAGCCGAAGGAGGCGGUAUCGCUCUAAUUUCUCAUUUAAUUACUCAACAUUUGGGAAUACCUUGCAAUGUCCUGAUGGGCGCAAAUUUGGCAAACGAAGUAGCGGAGGAACAUUUCUGCGAGACUACAAUUGGAUUACGUGACAUGAAAAUGGCUGGAAUUUUCCGUGACCUCUUCCAAACACCGAAUUUCCGUGUUGUGAUUGUCGAUGAUGUGGACACUGUCGAAAUUUGCGGAGCGUUAAAGAACAUUGUUGCCUGCGGUGCUGGCUUUGUCGAUGGCAUGAAACUCGGAGAUAAUACAAAAGCAGCUGUGAUUCGUCUAGGUCUCAUGGAGAUGAUUAAAUUUGUCGAUGUUUUUUAUCCUGGCAGCAAACUCUCGACAUUUUUUGAAAGUUGUGGUGUUGCAGAUCUUAUUACAACAUGUUAUGGUGGACGCAAUCGAAAGGUUUCAGAAGCUUUUGUCACUUCUGGAAAAACUAUCAAAGAGUUAGAGACAGAAAUGUUGAAUGGCAUGAAAUUGCAAGGUCCCGAGACUGCAGAGGAAGUUAACUAUAUGUUGAAAAAUAAGAACAUGGAAGACAAAUUCCCGCUUUUUACGGCGAUUCACAAAAUUUGUACAAGUGUUAUCAAGCCGACCGAGCUUAUUGAAUGCAUUCGUAAUCAUCCAGAACACAUGUAAUAAAAAUACUGUUCUCAUUUAGUCGUAAUGUUGUCUUCAUAAAAAUUCGCAAUUGUUACUUAAACGUUAAACUUUCUACACGCCCUUUAUAAGAAAAAGUUAUCACUUGCACCGAUUCCUCCAAAUAUAUAAAAAAUAUUGUAAGUAAUUAACAACAAGAAAACUAAAAGACCGAGUGGAAGUACAUUCAGAGUCGAUCAUUAACAAUAUGUGUAAAGUUUUAUUUUAAUAUAAAAAGAAAAUAUUUUGUGAAUAAAUGAAAACAAAACAUCUACUCCUCUGUUUAUUCAUAUUGUACAUUCGUCCAUAAUAUUACCAUAAAUGUUUGACUGCAAAAAUUCUAAGACAUCAAAGGACGUAAUAGGAAUCCGUAUCAUUUUUGGGAUUCGUUAGUUUCUUAACAAGAAAAAUAUAUCAAUAAAUAUUUCUUUCAAUUAACGUU